rnacentral:rRNA from 1 species
UACAGAGGGGGCAAGCGUUGUUCGGAAUUACUGGGCGUAAAGGGCGCGUAGGCGGCCUGUUAAGUCGAACGUGAAAUCCCCGGGCUCAACCCGGGAACUGCGUCCGAUACUGGCAGGCUUGAAUUCGGGAGAGGGAUGCGGAAUUCCAGGUGUAGCGGUGAAAUGCGUAGAUAUCAAGUGGAACACCAGUGGCGAAGGCGAGUUCCUGGACACUUCCUGACACUGAGGCACGGAAGCUAGGGGAGCAAACAGG